rnacentral:rRNA from 1 species
UCAAGCGAACAAGGGCGCAGGGCGAAUGCCUUGGCACUGGGAGCCGAUGAAAGACGUGAUAAGCUGCGAUAAGCUUCGGGGAGCUGCAAAUAAGCAUUGAUCCGGAGAUUUCUGAAUGAGGAAACUCACCUGGGUUCAUACUCAGGUACAAUACACUGAAAUUUAAAAUAGGUGUAUUGAGGGAACCGCCUGAACUGAAACAUCUAAGUAGGGCGAGGAAGAGACAUCAAACGAGAUUCCGUAAGUAGUGGCGAGCGAACGCGGAAGAGGGCAAACCGAGAGUAGAAAUACUUUCGGGGUACGGACUGCUUUUAAGACUCAAUCUGUUAACCGAACGGCAUGGGAAGGCCGGUCAGAGAGUGUGAGAACCACGUAGGUGAAAACGGAGAGAGCUGCGCAGGAUCCAGAGUACGGCCAGACACGUGAAACCUGGUCGGAAUACGGGGGGACCACCCUCCAACCCUAAAUACUACCCAGUGACCGAUAGCGUAUAGUACUGUGAAGGAAAGGUGAAAAGCACCCCGGGAGGGGAGUGAAAAAGAACCUGAAACCCUGUGCCUACAAGCACCUAGAGCGCGUCAAAGCGUGAUAGGGUACUUUUUGUAGAACGGUCCGGCGAGCGAUUGUAUGCAGCAAGGUUAAGGACUUAAGGUCUGGAGCCGAAGCGAAAGCGAGUUUGAAAAGGGCGUUAAGUUGCAUAUAAUGGGCCCGAAACCGGGUGACCUACCCAUGGUCAGGUUGAAGUGGAAGUAAAAUUCCAUGGAGGACCGAACCGACCUCCGUUGAAAAGGCGGCGGAUGAACUGUGGGUAGCGGAGAAAUUCCAAUCGAACCCGGAGAUAGCUGGUUCUCCCCGAAAUAGUUUUAGGACUAGCCUCAAGUUAGAUACCUGGAGGUAAAGCACUGAAUAGCCUAGCGGCCGAGAGGUUAGCGAAGCUUAUCAAACUCAGAAUGCCAGAGUAUUGAUGCUUGGGAGUCAGACAGUGUCAGAUAAAUGUCAUUGUCAAAAGGGAAACAGCCCAGAUCUACAGCUAAGGUCCCAAAGUCAGGUUAAGUGGAAAACGAUGUGAAGAUACGCAGACAACCAGGAUGUUGGCUCAGAAGCAGCCACUCAUUCAAAGAGUGCGUAAUAGCUCACUGGUCGAGCGUCUUUGCGCGGAGAAUUUAACGGGGCUAAACCUGACACCGAAGCUUAGGCAAUACAGCAAUGUAUUGGGUAGGGGAGCGUUGUAUACGCGGAGAAACAGUAGCGCAAGCGGCUGUGGAGUGUAUAGAAGUGAGAAUGCCGGAAUGAGUAGCGCGAAUGCAGUGAGAAUCUGCAUGGCCGAAAGCCUCAGGUUUCUGGAGGAAGGUUCGUCCGCUCCAGGUUAGUCGGGAGCUAAGGUGAGGCCGGAAGGCGUAGCCGAUGCACAGACGGUAGAGAUUCCGUCACCACCAAAAGAGUUAAGCACAGGGACACAUAUGAAGUCUCAGAGCCGGGUGUUGGUUCCGGUAGAGAUCGAGGGAAAUUAGUACCGAAGUCUGAGAUGGAAGAUGGCGAGAAAAGCUGUGUGUAUUUCUGAGGUGCCCGUACCGCAAACCGACACAGGUAGGUAGGAAGAAGAUUCUAAGGCCAACGGGAGAAGGGUUGUUAAGGAACUCGGCAAAUUGACCCCGUAACUUCGGGAGAAGGGGUGCUCCAGAGAUGGAGCCGCAGAGAAUCGGCCCAAGCAACUGUUUACCAAAAACACAGGUUUGUGCUAAAUCGAAAGAUGACGUAUACGAGCUGACGCCUGCCCGGUGCUGGAAGGUUAAGAGGAGAUGUGCAAGCAUUGAAUCGAAGCCCCAGUGAACGGCGGCCGUAACUAUAACGGUCCUAAGGUAGCGAAAUUCCUUGUCAGGUAAG